GUCUUGUUUUAAUAUCUCAUCAGCUUUACAGGGUUACAAUCGUCUUAAAUAUUUCUGAAGUUUAAAUACAAUCUGCAUAAUAAUGUUAUUAUAAAAUGUAAACUUUCAGUGUUCUUUUAAAUUUCAAAAUCACACUUUUUUUUUUGGUCUUUUUGUCUUUUUUUUUUUUUUCCUUUUAAUACCUGAAUGUUCUGCAAAAACUGAAAUUGUUACAGGCCACCCUGCUGCGGCCAGGGCGACACAGGCUGGGCCCAGCCAGAGGUAGAGAGUAGUUUUAUGGGUUUUUUUUUUUUUUUUAAGUUUAUUUAUUUAUUUAUUUUUUCUCCUAUUACCUGAGUUUCAGGCGUGGUCCCCACGCCAUCUGACAAACCCCAGAGAAACUGAAAUUUCACAUAUCAUGAAUGAAUGAAAGGCUGAGUUUACGUUACGUUUGCCAAGAAAAAAAAUACAAAAGCACAGUUAGGGAAUAAAGGGACAAAGUGAGUUAAAAAAUGAUAAAAGGAAGGAAAUUCGACUGUACAGAUGCAUGACUCUUAACAAUGACCUGGCUGCCCCCGGUGCCCCGUGCCCACCCUCCCGCCUGUCCCCCCAACAUCUCAGAGCAGCGGGAGCCCCCCUUGGCCUUGAGUGCGGGGUGCCCACUCAGUACGCAGCUAGGCCCCACGGUCCCAAGUGAACUCGAACCCGUCCAGGGUCCUUGUGGCUGAGGGGGCUGCCCGGCCCCCUCCCGGUCUGCAUAAGGGGGUUGCUGAGCUGCACCCCAGAAAGCCACCCCGACUUUAAACCCCCACCGACAGGCGGUGGCGGGAGAUGGGCACGGCUGGGGUUGAACAGGGCUACCUGAGGCAGGGAGGACCCUCUGGAGCCCACGGCUUCCUGCCCAGUAUCCAGAACCGGGCCCCACAGACUCCCUGCAACGGCCUCCCAUUUCCACGGCCAGCACGGCCACGGCCUUCAGUGCCUGCCUUCUCCUGGGCCGGGACCCAGCCUCGCGCCCGCUCCCCACCCGCCCCCCACUUGUCCCUACAAUCAUUGGAGUUAACAGCAGGCCCAAGUUCCCUGAGUUAGAAUCCAGUUCCACCCACCACCGGGAGGCCGGAUUGCCCACACAGACACGACACACAGGAUUCCCGACACACACACGCAGCCCGAGAGACGCUGGCCCUGCGCAGCCCCUCCCCAGCCUCCGAGGCGGGCAGGUGCACGGGCCACCAGAUGCAGCCGGCAGCCAGCCUCAGUGGCUGCUGCAGACCUUGGUGCACGGGAGGUGGGGGAGACGCACCCCAGGGGCUCAGAUUUUGGCAUCAAAAGUCAGACCUGAGGUAGACAGAGAUAGGCAGCAGGUGCUUCUCCCAGCGUGGGGCCCAGGCGUGGGACGGGGGUCCCGGGGGGGAGCCCUGGAGGCCGGGGGGCACAGAGUUCAGGUGGUCCUGCAAAUGGGGCCCAAUUGUGUCUGGAGGCGAAAAGACACCCCCUUCCCAGGGUGAUUGUGCUGCUACGGUGCCAGCCCCAGGAAGGGGCAGGGAGAACCUAGAUACCCACCACCCCCUCCUGGAAAGGGGGUGUGUGUCCACGGCCCUGAGAUCCGAGAAGGAAGUGCGGACCCCUCCCCAAAGACACAGGGAAGUGACAGCCCCCUCCCACAGCCCGAUGGGAAAGUGAACCCAGACUCAGGGGCUCAGAAGCCCCCCAGCCCCCUCCCCCGGGGGUCUCCAAGGCAAUGGCGGAAGGGUGGUUAGGAGCAGGGGGAGUUGGGGAGUCCCCUUCGUCACUGACCCCCCAUGCCGGUGGCCUAACAGGGCUCCCAGGGCCCAAUUAGAGACCCAGGCUUACCCUGGGAAUAGCUGAGUUAAUCCCCACCCCAAGAUGAUAGCCCCGCCCAUCACCACCCAACACCCCGCGGGUCCAGCAAGGUCCCCACACCCUGCCGCGGAUUUCAGACCCAGCCUUUCUGCUUCAGCAGCUCCAGUCAAAAUAACCCCUCAGCUGCGGUGACCCCACUUUUUUCUAGCCUGGGGGAGGGGCACUGACCCACAGGUUGGUGGGGGCAGCCUCCCUUCUCGGCUUCGAUUUAGGUGCCCACAACUCGGGGAGCUUGCGGACCCGGCACAAAAGGCGUCGGGAGAAGAGGAAGGGACAGAGCGAGGAGAAUGUUGGGAUGUGGGGGGCUGUUCAGGACACCGGGGCCCCGAAAUCCUCACCCUGAGCGAGGUCCGGCUUCACCCCCACUCCCCAGUAUUGAUAGUCCCCAAAAGCAGCCCUUUCGGGCAAGAGAAGAAUCUGGAUGAGACAGUGAGAGCCACAUUCAUCCCUGAGACAGGAGCCUGGGGACUGCGACAAGAACCACCCCUGCCCCCCAGGCCCUUUUUCCAGCACUUGCUACUUUUUAGAUAAGAUUUCCAGGCCGGGCAGGUGCGGCGGCUCACGCCUGUAAUCCCAGCACUUUUGGGAGGCCGAGGCAGGCGGAUCACCCCGAGGUCAGGAGUCUGAGACCAGCCUGACCAACACGGUGAAACCCCGUCUCUACUAAAAAUACAAAAAUUAACCGGGCGUGCUGGCGAGUGCCUGUAGUAGUCCCAGCUACUUGGGAGGCCGAGGCUGGAGAAUUGCUUGAACCUGGGAGGUGCAGGUUGCAGUGAGCCGAGAUCGUGCCAUUGCACUCACUCCA
ensembl:lncRNA